UAAAGCGAGCCCAACCGAAGUAUCGAAAGUCGGAUUGGAGAGUCGAAGCAGGUCAAAUUAGGUCAAGAUGCAUCCCUGGAGCACUGCAUCCCCAGCAAGUGGUACAUCCAACAUAGGUGGCUUGUGGUUGCCACAAAACCACUUGCAAUUGCCAUAUCCCCCUUCAGCCGAUGACCCAACCAAUAGUCCCUCCCAGACACAUGGCACAAUCCUUUGAAACCCGAAUUUUAGACUCCAAUUUUAGGGUUUCCCCACUACUUGGGCACCUCUCCACCCUCUUUCCUUUGUAAAUACAUCCUUUAGCCUCAAUACCACACACCUUUUGAUUUUUGGCAUGAAUUAUAUAACGCUAUGUAUUUUCUCUCUCUUCUUUGCUAUCUAAAUUUUCCUUUUCUAAUCAUUUUUCCUUAAAUUAAUUAGUUUCUUCGCAAAUAAAUUCUUUUGGUUCUUCGCUACAAAAUUGAGAUCUAGUUGAGUUGUUUGAGAAAUCAUCCUUACAAAAAAGUAUAAUUCUCUAAACAAUCCAUGAAUCUCAUUUUCUCUUCUCAAGUAUGAAAUCUGAAUUAAAUAUAAAAAAUAGCAUAAAUCAAACUAAAAUCAACUAUACAACUGCAUGGUUCUAAUUCUCGUUCUGACUAGGGAUCUAAAGGAUAUGUGACAUAUUUUAGGAUUUAUCCUUAAAUUGCAAACCAAAUCAAUCGAAACCCUCUUCUCCUUCUCAUCAUCUUUUUAUUAUUUCUUUUUAUGAUUAUUAUCACUAUUAUUCUUAAGAGAUAUAUGAUCACCCUAGGAUCUCCAAAAAGGGACUAGAGUUGAUAUUAUCUAAUUAUUUCAUAAUUGAUUUUUAUUUUAUUUGUGUUUUAUUAUUGCCAUUGGAAGCUGUGUGUUAUUCUAUAAUCAUCUUCAGAAGACUAGAGGUAAUACUCCCUAUUUUUAUUUAAUUUAUUUAUUGCUUUUGUGGAUGGAAUAUUGUUAAUUUUGUUCAUAAUAUCAUUUUUAUAUGCUCAUGCAUCUUUUUAUAUGCCAAUGCUUCAUAUUAAUUGUCAUGCAAAAUUAUUUUUCAUAUAAAUCUUGUUUUAAUUUUGAGUCAAUUAAUUAAUUUUGCUUUUUCUUGUUCUACUACACUUUUCCACUGGACAAAUAUUUUUGGGAGUCAAAUUUGAGUUUUUCCUUAAGUUUUUCUAAAUAAUUAAAUAUAAGAUAACGAUACCUUUCUAAAAGACAAAACGACAUGCUUUUAUCUUUGUUGUUCAAGUCCAAAUGAGAGUUUUGAUUUCUUUAAUUUGAAGGUUGCUGAGGUGAGAUCUCUCAGGUAUUCCAAUGAGAGCCAUUCAGUGACUUGCAGAAAUUUGAUUCCUACUCUUCAAAAUCAGAACAUACGAGUUUCCAAAAAUAUUUUUUCAAGAAAGAGAAGGUUGUGGGCUCGCAUUCAUGGGGUACAAAUAUGUUAUGCAUAGUCUCGUCCAUCAAACCUUCUAAAGCUUGAGCGCAAUCUCUAGAAGCAGUUGGAAGAAGUAUUGGCACAAGAGGAGCUGUUUUGAUUCCAAAAUUCAAAAGAAUAUUUGAUCAUUUUUGGAGAGAAAAAUAUGAAAUAUUAUCAUGUAGCUGCGAUGAUCAGAAAACUUAAAGAGAAUAUUGCUAUAUAAAGGGAUAGUUAUUCAAUCCAAUACUUUGGAAUCAAGUUAUUGUUCGAGUGUUGGUGAAGAGAUUUUGGCGGACCUUUCUCGCCCUCAUUCUGUAUCUUAAGUUCGUGAUGCUUUGCUUGAUAUGGCUCUAUUCAAGGCACAUGGAAUAACUGGUUUUAAGCGGGUAUCUUCAAAAAAUGCUGAAAAUCUAUUGGUGAGUCUGUUGCAACUUUUAUUAUUCAUAUACUAAACUGUGAUCCAUUAUCUCCUAAUUUGAACUCUACUUUGCUAGUUCUUAUACUGAAAGUUUUUAAUCCUGAUUCUAUCUCUUUAUUCCGGACCACUAUCUUAUGCAACGUUUUAUGUAAGCUGAUAACCAAAACUAUGGUUAAUGGAUCAAAAUUAUAUUGCCUAUGUUAGUUGGGAGCGGGCAACUUUUAUUCUGGGUCGCCAAAUUAUUGAUAGUAUCAUUUAUUGUAAAGCGAUCCAUUGUAUGAAGAUUGUGAGAAGGAAUGUGGUUCCAUGUCUAUAAAUAUCGAUUUGGAGGAAGCAUAUGACAGAUUGAGUUGGGAUUUUGUGGAAUGAAUAUUUAAGGACGUUGGUUUCUCUGAGGCAUGGGUUAAUAAUGUUUUGAAGUGUAUUAAGUCCGCGGAUAUAGAAGUCUUAUAGAAUGGAGAAAAGUUGUUUUAUUUUGUUUUGAUCGUUCUAGUUUAUUUUCAAUAUAUGGGAUAUUUUGU